rnacentral:ncRNA from 1 species
GCAAACGCAUAGAUCAGGAUUACUAAGAAAAUUUUAUUGUUUAGAGAGCUGUUAAUUGCUGAAAUGCAGCCAAUAAAAUUUCCCAACUCGCCUGUGAGUGGUCAGACUGAUAAGUAGGUCUGAACGGCUGACUCCCGUGAUAAGUUUUUUAGAAGGUCUGUGAAAAUACGGCAGGCUGAGAAGAGUGGUACCGCGCUAGGAAAACCUAUCGCCUCUUUA